UGCAGAGUAGAGGAGUCCGGCCGUCCUCGCGAGUCUCAUAAGCUCGAAAUCGCUGGUUCAAAUCCAGCCUCUGCUUCCA
rnacentral:tRNA from 1 species